CAAAUGAAAUAAAAGAAUAGAAAAAGAGAAAGAAGAACAGAAAAGAAACAGAGAAAGAGACGAAAACAGGGGAAGAAAAAAGGGGAAAGAAAAGAAAGGGGGAAAAUUGAGAUUUUGAAGCUUGAAGUUUAAUAGCUAACAAGGAAAACGAGGCAUCGGCACACAAAGGAAAGGGGAAGGUUAUUGAAGAAUAAUCGAGCAAAAUUCGGGUUGAAAAGAAAAAAAAAAGGGUCAGAGUCUCGGUUCAGCAUCCAAGACAAUCCCGACUCGGACAUAAAAUUUAGGUGAUGUUUUCUUUCUUUAAGAGAAAGUGACAUGUACAUAAGAAUUAUAAUAGUUAUGUUGGUAUGUUAUAUAGUUUUGUUGUAAAGUAAGAUAUUAUGUGUUUUGAUGAUUAUAUUAGUAAAAUGGUAGAAAUCCUUUAUGGCAUUGGUACCAAAUUGAAAUGGCUUGAUUAGUUUUAUGUAUUAAUUAGAAAUGAUA